rnacentral:rRNA from 1 species
UACGUAGGGGGCUAGCGUUGUCCGGAAUCAUUGGGCGUAAAGGGCGCGUAGGCGGUGCGGUAAGUCUGUAGUGAAAUCUCUGGGCUCAACUCAGAGUCUGCUGCAGAAACUGCCGUGCUUUGAGUGUGGGAGAGGUGAGUGGAAUUCCCGGUGUAGCGGUGAAAUGCGUAGAUAUCGGGGAGGAACACCUGUGGCGAAAAGCGGCUCACUGGACCACAACUGACGCUGAGGCGCGAAAAGCUAGGGGGAGCAAACAGGG